AGUGAACGCUGGCGGUAGGCCUAGCACAUGCAAGUCGAACGGCAGCACAGUAAGAGCUUGCUCUUACGGGUGGCGAGUGGCGGACGGGUGAGGAAUACAUCGGAAUCUACUUUUUCGUGGGGGGUAACGUAGGGAAACUUACGCUAAUACCGCAUACGACCUACGGGUGAAAGCAGGGGAUCUUCGGACCUUGCGCGAUUGAAUGAGCCGAUGUCGGAUUAGCUAGUUGGCGGGGUAAAGGCCCACCAAGGCGACGAUCCGUAGCUGGUCUGAGAGGAUGAUCAGCCACACUGGAACUGAGACACGGUCCAGACUCCUACGGGAGGCAGCAGUGGGGAAUAUUGGACAAUGGGCGCAAGCCUGAUCCAGCCAUACCGCGUGGGUGAAGAAGGCCUUCGGGUUGUAAAGCCCUUUUGUUGGGAAAGAAAAGCAGCAGGUUAAUACCCCGCUGUCCUGACGGUACCCAAAGAAUAAGCACCGGCUAACUUCGUG
rnacentral:rRNA from 1 species